UACAGAGAGUGCAACCGUUGUUCGGAAUUACUGGGCUUAAAGCGCACGUAGGCGGUUUCGUAAGUGUCAGGUGAAAUCCCACGGCUCACCCGUGGAACUGCCCGGCAUACUGCGAUACUCGAGUGUGGUAGGGGAGAGCGGAAUUCCUGGUGUAGCGGUGAAAUGCGCAGAUAUCAGGAGGAACACCGAUUGCGAAGGCAGCUCGCUGGGACGUAACUGACGCUGAGACGCGAAAGCGUGGGGAGCAAACAGG
rnacentral:rRNA from 1 species